GAAGGGAACUGAAGUUGAUUGGCUUCUUUGUGAAGAAGAAAGAGUCAGUGCUCUGAGGAGCUGCCCAUGAGAAACACCAAGAAGAUCUCUUCUGCUGACAUCUGAGUGUUGGAAAAGAAAGCUUCCAUUGGGCAUAAAGAAAACUUUCAAACAGAAGGGGAGAACAUCAUCCAGCUGCAUCUUCCCAUGGUGACCUCCCAUGCAGGCACCAUCCAAUACAAGACACAGCCCAGUUGGCCACUGAAAGUAUUAUGCAAAGGAGAUCAGAAGGGGUUGAUGCUGGAUAAAAUAAAGAGCAUUGUUCUCACUCCUGCUUGUCACUGCAAGAUAAAUGUGAUUUCUCCUGGAUAUAGAAUCCUUUAUCUUUAUGCCCUACUGUAGUGCUGUGGGAAGGCUUGUAAUGCUUAACCCCUUUCUCAGAUGUGGCUGCACAUCCACUGUGAGUAUUUCAUCUCCAGGAGCCUCAUCUCAAGCUCAGUGAAAAAGCCUCAAAAAACAACAAGGUCCUUUGUAAAGAAGGCAUUGCUUUUUGAAGUCCAGCAUGGAUGCAGAUACCAGCUGAAUUGUCUGCUAAUUAUUUGGUAUUGAAACUGGUUUUUGUGUUAAAGUAAGGAAAUCCCAUAUUAAUGUCACCAAGGAAAGACCUGAUGAUUUUGGUGUAGAACAAAUACAUUGCAGAAGUUUCAUUUUACUUUGCUUUUGUUCUUCAUAUUAUUUCCUCUGUGAACACUUGUGGUACACCUGCCACGCUGGUGUCCAUGAGCUGCACUAGCAGAGAAUUUCCUAUCUCACUGUCUUUUCUCUGCACAGUGUUUUACCUGAGCCCAGCCACGUUUUUAUCUGAGACCUCUCCAGUGCCCUUCAACCGCAAUUGACCAAGGUGUUAUGUU